rnacentral:rRNA from 1 species
CGAUGCACACUAGGUGUGGGGGGUAUCGAGCCCCUCCGUGCCGUAGUUAACACAGUAAGUGUGCCACCUGGGGAGUACGGCCGCAAGGUUAAAACUCAAAGGAAUUGACGGGGGCCCGCACAAGCAGCGGAGCGUGUGGUUUAAUUCGAUGCAACGCGAAGAACCUUACCUAGACUUGACAUGACCCGGAAAGGCCUGGAAACAGGUCCCUCUUCGGACCGGGCCACAGAUGUUGCAUGGCUGUCGUCAG